UACGGAGGGUGCGAGCGUUGUCCGGAAUCAUUGGGCGUAAAGGGCGCGUAGGUGGCCCGGUCAGUCUUUGGUGAAAGCGCGGGGCUCAACCCUGCGUCGGCCAGGGAUACUGCCGCGGCUCGAGCACUGUAGAGGCAGGCGGAAUUCCGGGUGUAGCGGUGAAAUGCUUAGAUAUGUCACAGAACACCGAUAGCGAAGGCAGCUCACUAGACUAACAUUGACGCUCAUGCACGAAAGCGUGGGGAGCGAACAGG
rnacentral:rRNA from 1 species